AACGCAGGUGGUUUGGUAAGUCAGGGGUGAAAGUCCACAGCUUAACUGUGGCACUGCCUUUGAUACUACCUUUCUUGAGUGCAUGAGGGGGAAGCGGAAUUCCGAGUGUAGAGGUGAAAUUCGUAGAUAUUCGGAGGAACACCGGUGGCGAAGGCGGCUUCCUGGCAUGUAACUGACACUCAUGUUCGAAAGCGUGGGGAGCAAACAGGAUUAGAUACCCUGGUAGUCCACGCCCUAAACGAUGGGCACUAGGUGUGGGAGGUAUCGACCCCUUCCGUGCCGCAGCUAACGCAUUAAGUGCCCCGCCUGGGGAGUACGGGCCGCAAGGUUGAA
rnacentral:rRNA from 1 species